rnacentral:misc_RNA from 1 species
UAUUACAUCUAGUAUACUAAGCAACACAGAAGAGUCGGUACCCUUCUCAGAAAGCAGGGAGUUCAGUAUUUGGGUUACUGGUCGUUUACAAUCUGGGAUGGCCAUGACCCUUUCACUAAUAAGGCCCAACACAGAUUUCAAGUUGGCAAUGACGACUCCAACAUCAGCACCUUGACGAGAAGAAGUGACAGCAGAAUCAGGAUCUGAUCUCUGACCCUGCCGCACAUGGGAACCAAUAGAUGACCCCAUAUCUCGAGCCAGGCGCUGAAGAAGACGGACCAGAUUUACUG